rnacentral:rRNA from 1 species
AUACGUAGGUGACAAGCGUUAUCCGGAUUUACUGGGCGUAAAGGGCGUGUAGGCGGUCUUGCAAGUCAGAAGUGAAAUUCCUGAGCUCAACUCGGGCGCUGCUUCUGAAACUGCAGGACUUGAGUGCUGGAGGGGAUAGCGGAAUUCCUAGUGGAGCGGUAAAAUGCGCAGAUAUUAGGAAGAACACCGGUGGCGAAGGCGGCCAUCUGGACAGUAACUGACGCUGAGGCGCGAAAGCGUGGGGAGCGAACAGGAUUAGAUACCCUGGUAGUCCACGCGGUAAACGAUGAAUGCCAGGUGUUGCGGGUAUCGACCCCUGCAGUGCCGGAGUAAACACAAUAAGCAUUCCGCCUGGGGAGUACGGCCGCAAGGUUGAAACUCAAAGGAAUUGACGGGG